rnacentral:rRNA from 1 species
CGGGGAAUCUUGCGCAAUGGGGGAAACCCUGACGCAGCGACGCCGCGUGCGGGAUGAAGGCCUUCGGGUUGUAAACCGCUUUCAGCAGGGACGAGGCCUUAUGGUGACGGUACCUGCAGAAGAAGCUCCGGCUAAAUACGUGCCAGCAGCCGCGGUAAUACGUAUGGAGCAAGCGUUAUCCGGAUUCAUUGGGCGUAAAGCGCUCGUAGGCGGUCUGUUAGGUCGGCAAGUUAAAUCCGGGGGCUCAACCCCCGUCCGCUUCCGAUACCGGCAGACUUGAGUUUGGUAGGGGAAGGUGGAAUUCCUAGUGUAGCGGUGGAAUGCGCAGAUAUUAGGAAGAACACCGGUGGCGAAGGCGGCCUUCUGGGCCAUAACUGACGCUGAGGAGCGAAAGCUAGGGGAGCGAACAGG